AAUUGGAGGGCAAGUCUGGUGCCAGCAGCCGCGGUAAUUCCAGCUCCAAUAGCGUAUAUUAAAGUUGUUGCAGUUAAAAAGCUCGUAGUUGAAUUUCGAGACCGGCUUACUGGUCGUGCUAUUGUACGUACUGGUAUAAUCGGCUUCUCCUUUCUGACGAACUUUAAUGCCAUUAAUUUGGUGUUUUAGGGAAUCAGGACUGUUACUUUGAAAAAAUUAGAGUGUUUAAAACAGGCUAACGCUUGAAUACAUUAGCAUGGAAUAAUGAAAUAGGACAUCGCAUUCUAUUUUGUUGGUUUCUAGGAUCGAUGUAAUGAUUAAUAGGGAUAGUUGGGGGCAUUAGUAUUCAAUUGUCAGAGGUGAAAUUCUUGGAUUUAUUGAAGACUAACUACUGCGAAAGCAUUUGCCAAGGAUGUUUUCAUUAAUCAAGAACGAAAGUUAGGGGAUCGAAGACGAUCAGAUACCGUCGUAGUCUUAACCAUAAACUAUGCCGACUAGGGAUCGGAUGAUGUUGAUUUUUUAAUGACUCAUUCGGCACCUUACGGGAAACCAAAGUGU
rnacentral:rRNA from 1 species